UACGUAGGUGACAAGCGUUGUCCGGAUUUACUGGGCGUAAAGCGCGCGCAGGCGGCGGUGCUGGCCCGACGUGAAAGCCCCCGGCUCAACUGGGGAGGGUCAUUCGAUACUGUUCGACUCGAAGGCAGGAGAGGAAGUGGAAUUCCCGGUGUAGUGGUGAAAUGCGUAGAUAUCGGGAGGAACACCAGUGGCGAAGGCGACUUCCUGGCCUGUUCUUGACGCUGAGGCGCGAAAGCUAGGGGAGCAAACGGG
rnacentral:rRNA from 1 species